rnacentral:rRNA from 1 species
GACGAACGCUGGCGGCGUGCUUAACACAUGCAAGUCGAACGGGAGGAAAAGAGAAGCUUGCUUCUUUUUGAAUCUAGUGGCAAACGGGUGAGUAACACGUAAACAACCUGCCUUCAGGAUGGGGACAACAGACGGAAACGACUGCUAAUACCGAAUGUGUUCCGGAGACCGCAUGAUUUCCGGAAGAAAGGAUGGCCUCUAUUUAUAAGCUAUCGCCUGAAGAGGGGUUUGCGUCUGAUUAGGCAGUUGGUGAGGUAACGGCCCACCAAACCUACGAUCAGUAGCCGGUCUGAGAGGAUGAACGGCCACACUGGAACUGAGACACGGUCCAGACUCCUACGGGAGGCAGCAGUGGGGAAUCUUCCGCAAUGGACGAAAGUCUGACGGAGCAACGCCGCGUGAGUGAUGACGGCCUUCGGGUUGUAAAGCUCUGUGAUCGGGGACGAAUGGCUGGUAUGCUAAUACCAUAUCAGAGUGACGGUACCCGAAUAGCAAGCCAC